rnacentral:rRNA from 1 species
UGUCUGGGAAACUGCCUGAUGGAGGGGGAUAACUACUGGAAACGGUAGCUAAUACCGCAUAACGUCGCAAGACCAAAGUGGGGGACCUUCGGGCCUCAUGCCAUCAGAUGUGCCCAGAUGGGAUUAGCUAGUAGGUGGGGUAACGGCUCACCUAGGCGACGAUCCCUAGCUGGUCUGAGAGGAUGACCAGCCACACUGGAACUGAGACACGGUCCAGACUCCUACGGGAGGCAGCAGUGGGGAAUAUUGCACAAUGGGCGCAAGCCUGAUGCAGCCAUGCCGCGUGUGUGAAGAAGGCCUUCGGGUUGUAAAGCACUUUCAGCGGGGAGGAAGGCGGUGAGGUUAAUAACCUCAUCGAUUGACGUUACCCGCAGAAGAAGCACCGGCUAACUCCGUG